rnacentral:rRNA from 2 species
CAAAUGAAUUGACGGGGGCCCGCACAAGCGGUGGAGCAUGUGGUUUAAUUCGAUGCAACGCGAAGAACCUUACCUGGUCUUGACAUCCACGGAAGUUUUCAGAGAUGAGAAUGUGCCUUCGGGAACCGUGAGACAGGUGCUGCAUGGCUGUCGUCAGCUCGUGUUGUGAAAUGUUGGGUUAAGUCCCGCAACGAGCGCAACCCUUAUCCUUUGUUGCCAGCGGUCCGGCCGGGAACUCAAAGGAGACUGCCAGUGAUAAACUGGAGGAAGGUGGGGAUGACGUCAAGUCAUCAUGGCCCUUACGACCAGGGCUACACACGUGCUACAAUGGCGCAUACAAAGAGAAGCGACCUCGCGAGAGCAAGCGGACCUCAUAAAGUGCGUCGUAGUCCGGAUUGGAGUCUGCAACUCGACUCCAUGAAGUCGGAAUCGCUAGUAAUCGUGGAUCAGAAUGCCACGGUGAAUACGUUCCCGGGCCUUGUACACACCGCCCGUCACACCAUGGGAGUGGGUUGCAAAAGAAGUAGGUAGCUUAACCUUCGGGAGGGCGCUUACCACUUUGUGAUUCAUGACUGGGGUGAAGUCGUAACAAGGUAACCGUAGGGGAACCUGCGGUUGGAUCACCUCCUUACCUUAAAGAAGC